rnacentral:rRNA from 1 species
AUUGAACGCUAGCGGCAUGCUUAACACAUGCCAGUCGAACGAGCGGCGGACGGGUGAGUAAUAUAUCGGGACCUGCCCAAUAGAGGGGGAUAACUACUGGAAACAGUGGCUAAUACCGCAUACUAUGGGAUGGACCCAUAUGGGAUUAGCUAGUCGGGGGGGUAAAGGCUAACCAAGGCCACGAUCCCUAGCUGGUUUGAGAGGAAGACAAGCCACACUGGUACUGAGAAACGGUCCAGACCCCUACGCGAGGCAGCAGUUGGGAAUUUUGGACAAUGGGCGAAACCCUGAUCCAGCCAUCCCGCGUGUAUGAGAAGGCCUUCGGUUUGUAAAGUACUUUUGGCGGAGAAGCGGUAUCUGCAGAAUAAGCACCGGCUAACUACGUGCCAGCAGCCGCGGUAAUUC